UAUGUUUUAAGGUAUGUGCAGGGCAGUCCUGCGUCGAAUGGUAUUUUUUAGUAGUCGUUUACUUAAAACCAAAUGUGUUCGCUCUGCCCCGUAUUCAAAUGUAACAACCUUACUUUAAAAGACUCCUACUUUUUAGAAAAUUAUUACAGCCUAUGCAACCUAUUGCAUUGCGUAGCAUAAGUUUUUGCUCAUAUUAAUAAUGUACAUGUAAUAUCCUUUUUCUAAAGUGUGUGCUGUUCCUUCCAUUAUUGUCCAUAUGUUGCAAUUUAAAUUAAAUUUCUAAUAAAAAAAAAGGUCACAAAUAAUAAAGCCCCUAAUAUUUUCCAUACAGUCUGACCAGUGUUCUCGAAACGGUGGUGUUUUAAAACUAUUGUCCUACAGCAACACUGAUCAAGCUCGCCUUGUUGUUUUUUGUCACCGUCACCAACACACGCGCGGAAACUAUUGCUCAGCAUUUCAAUUUUUGUUUCUGCCAGGGAAAUUACAAUUUUCAGCCCGAUCAACUGCAGGCAUUAUCAAAAUAAAUAUAUAUAAAUUGAGCCCAAACGAAUCCAUCUGUCUUUCUGCACUUUUUGUUGGAUUUUUGGCAUUGGUGGUCCAGAAUAAGUUGCGUUUUGUUUCCGUGGAUGCAGCGAAGGACUAAUUUGGAUAAUAGAAAAAGAAAAAAGUGCAUCUGUCUACCUAGAAUUUAUGUUUGUACUUUAUAAAGCUGGAUUUAGAAUUUUGUAACUUGCUAAAUAAAGAAACAAAAAACAUGUAAACAACAUGGGAAGCCAUCACAUCACUUAGGUAAACAAACACUUUUUGUUGAAAAUAGCCUUGGCAACAUCUUAAUUUAUUUUCAUAACGUUUACCAUUAAAUAAUCUUAAUUACUGUUUAAUCGAGAAUAACGUAUCACUGUCAAAUAUAAGUAUAGUAUUAUAAGACGAAUCAAAUUGUGAUCAAUAUUAAAAUAUUAGUUUGUCAAAAAA